GCCGGCGCCCGCAGGAGCCCGCGGGAAAGCGGCGUCGCGCCCGGCGGGUGUGAGGAGAGUCAGUCAGUGCGCGGUUGGGGCCCGAAGUUCGGUUUUGAAAGUGGAGGUCUUGACUCCUGGGGAGGAGGAAGAGUCCCGGGACCUGGGGAUCAGUCUUUGACCGAAGACUGAGAUUUGUGACAGCAGGUGGAGCAGACCCACAGCACACGCUCUGGAGCAGCACAGCGGGUUCUGAGGCUGGAGCGUGAUGGAGGUGCAGGCCCCGCUGACCUUCGCCGAUGUGGCUGUGCACUUCACCCAGGAGGAGUGGCGGCUCCUGGCCCCCGCGCAGAAGGCCCUGUACCGGGAGGUGAUGCUGGAGAACUACAGCCACCUGGUGUCCGUGGGUGAGGACAGCACCCCUGUGUCGCUCAAGGGGUCCUGCCAGUGGUCUUUCCACGCUCAGCUUCUGAAGGCUCUGGAGUGUCUGUGGUGCUCUGAGGUGGUGGAGUCUCAGCCUCCUCUCUGGUCCACAAGAGAUAUCUCAAAAUUUGAUGAUCAUCUGUCAGAGUACUUACAAAAAGAGAGCAUGGAGAAUGUUCCAGAACCGUGGUACCAACACAACACAUUUGAAAAUGCUGUUCAUCAGAGCAGAAAUCAGUUUGUGUUAAGGGAAAGUCAUGAUCUGUUUGACUUACAUAGAAAACGUAUAACAUCAGAUUUCAUUUCAGUUAAGCAGAGCAAAAGCUGUGAAACAAAGAAUGCUGCUGAGUUUAUUGGAGAUGGGGAAUCUUUUCUCCAUGCUAACCAUAAACAGUGUCAGCCUGAAAUUCACCUCCCUGAAAGCCAAAAACUCAUCAGCACUAAGUCACAAGUGUUCAAGCAUCAGAAAACUCAAAAAAUAAAGAAGUCACAUGUGUGUAGGGAAUGUGGGAAAGCCUUCAUGAAGAAGUCUUUGCUUAGUGACCACCACAAUCUUCAUACAGGGGAGAAACCCCAUCGAUGUAGUGUGUGUGGGAAAGCAUUCUCUGGAAAGGUCAUGCUCACUGAACACCAGAAGACACAUACCGGGGCAAAACCUUAUGAAUGUACUGACUGUGGAAAAGUCUUUCUCAAGAAAUCACGGCUCAGUGUACAUCAGAAAACACAUACAGGAGAGAAACCAUUUAUAUGCAGUGAAUGUGGAAAAAGCUUCAUCCAGAAGGGGAAUCUCAUGGUACAUAUACGAGUACACACAGGAGAGAAGCCAUACAUAUGCAGUGAAUGUGGAAAAGGCUUCAGCCAGAAGACAUGCCUCACAGUACAUCAGCGACUUCACACAGGAAAGACUCCUUUUGUGUGUAGUGUUUGUGGAAAGUCCUGUUCCCAGAAGACAGGUCUCAUUAAACAUCAAAGAAUUCACACAGGAGAGAAACCCUAUGAAUGUAACGAAUGUGGAAAAGCCUUCAUUGAGAAGUCACAACUCGUUGUGCAUCAGAGAAUCCACACAGGAGAGAGACCAUAUGGAUGCAAUAAAUGUGGAAAAUCAUUCAGAAGUAAGUCAGUUCUCAAUGAACAUCAGAGAACUCAUUCAGUCAAGGUAGAAAUUCCUCCUUGUAGGAGGCACGGCCCAUCCCAGGCCAGAGCAGUCCUGCAGGAAAAAAACAUAGUUAAUUCAGUGACUCUGCCAGUGUCUUCUUUGGCCCCUCAGACAACACUAAAUAUUACUGGGCUCCUGGUGGACAGGAAUGUGGUCCAAGUGGGCCAGCCUGUGGCCAGAGGUGCACCCUUGGGAGACAGCAGCGGAUAUGCACAGGAUGGAGACCUUACGAAUGCAGUGAAUCUGGUUGUGCCUUCAGUCAUCAAUUGCAUCUUAUAUUAUGUCACAGAAAACCAGUAGGAAGAUCUCAGAAGAGCUUCACGUGGAAGUAGACUUAACCGCUUCCUUGUAAAGAAAUUCUGAUUCAAUAAAUCUGCGCCUCCUGAGCGAGUGUCCUCACCACAAUUGGAGCCCUAGACCCUGCCACGUCUGGCUGUGUCCUUAAGGUCAAGUCCUGCCCACAGCCCACUGGAGGUGAGUUUGACACUUGUGUGUGCAUUUCAGACUUAACCGCUUCUCAGAAGUCCAUGGUAUUUUCUUCCAGCCAGCAGGAGGACUGUUCAUGGAGACGUGAUUUUCUCCUGCUGUGGGGAAGGUUUGAGGGGGAUGUGGCCCCAGUUGCUUCAUUUUGCUUUUGUUUCCCUUGCUGGGAUCAGUCCCCAAACACAUCUCCGAGCCUGAUCGCGACGGCAUCGAUCUAUGUUUUCUUCCCUGGAGUUUACGGUCUCAGGUCCUCCACCCAAUGUUUAUUCCAUUUUGUGUUCAUGUUCAUGGUGGUGGGAGCAUGUGCGCCAGCUCCACUCUGCUGUGCGAGGUUGUCCAGUUUCCCCAACUCUGUCUGUGGGAAACUGUCUCCCUGUCUUGUAAGCUAUCGGUUUCUGUGCUGUAAAUGUCCUCCACGUGAGUGUGCUCUCUUUCCAGACACUCACAGGCGUUUGUCCAUGAGCUGAAACUAAAAUCCACAGGCAGUAAAAGUAGGUUCCUGUAGCGAUUUCUGUAUCGCAAGUUCACUGCAGCGAUUGCAAGAGCCAAGAGGUGACAGAGCCCACAGCUGAUGAACUGACCAGGAAGCCGUCAGGCCAAGGCCGAGAGCACCAUGUGGUUCCUAGCCAGGUGCAGCUCUCCUCUCGGCCCGAACCGAGGAAUGAGUCUGGAGAACCAGGAUCCCCUGUGUGCCUGUGCGCCCUCCUCUUCACGGGGUCUGGAGAGGGCCGCCUCAGGAGUCGUGAGGAAGGAAGUUACCUUGCCUGGGGCACGUCAGAGCCGUGAGUCCUGGUUGUCCGUUCAGCCACUGAAAGUCUCGAAAGGAUGAGCGCCUUGACGUGAACAUGUCAGAGCGGGAGCUGUGCUGGGAGGGGAGGUCAGGGCUGCACCUGCCAUGAUCCAGGAGCCUGAGCCUCGGGUUCCUGGACAGGGUCCUCCUGCUCAGAAGGCCCACGUCAGCCUGGGAACUGGCAGGAUGGACGCCAGGCAUUUGGCCGUACAAAUGAUUUUCUUCUUACAAAUUGUGCUCGGGCUUCUGGGGAACCUCUCUCUCCUUUCCCAUCACCUCUUUGUCUCUCUCACUGGCUGUCGGCCGAGGGCCACCGAUUUUAUUGUCAAGAACCUGAUUGUGGCCAAUUGCCUGGUCCUCAUGUCGAGUGGAAUCUGCUAUCCAGUGACGUUCUUUGGGGAGAUCCCCAUCCUCAACGAUUUUGGAUGCAGAUUUUGCCAUUAUGCGCGACAGGUGGGCAGGGGCAUGUCCAUCAGCACCACCUGCCUCCUGAGUGUGGUCCAGGCCGUCACCAUCAGCCCCUGGCGCUGCAGGGGGGCAGGGCUGAGAGGGAAACCUCCCAAGUGCGUCCUGCCCUGCAUUGCCCUGUGCUGGGUCCUGAGCCUGCUGGUAAAUUCCAUCAUUGCCGUAUUCAUGUCUAGCAGUUUCAGUGACAAAAAUGACACAAGCAGGAAAAGGUAUGGACAGUGUUCCUCUGUUCGUCACGACCCAGCCAGAGACUUCUUAUAUGGGGCUUUACUCUCCUUCCCGGAGGUUGUGUUUUUUGUGACCAUGGUCGGGUCCAGCGGCUCCAUGGUCUACACCCUGUCCCGGCACAGGCAGCGGGUCCGUCACCUUCACGGGUUCACCUCAUCAACGUCCUCCCCCGAGUCUAGGGCCACUCACACCAUCCUGCUCCUGGUGAGCACCUUCAUCUGCUUUAACAUCAUUUCCUCCGUGUUGAAGAUUGUUGUGUCUCUUAUGUAUAAUCCCGACUGGUUCCUUUUUAACAUCAAUACAGUAAUCACGCUGUCUUUCCCGACUCUCUGUCCUUUUCUGCUCUUGAGCCAGGAAUACAAGGUGUCCCUGCUGUGCUCUGCCCGGAUGAGGAAUAGUAAAUGCCACAAACCCUUGAGAGACAUGUAAACUGCGUGUGAGUGCACAGUCAUUUAUUCAUUCGAUAAUUCACUCAACAUCCCCAGUGCUAACUGCAGUCGUGAGUGACUUAUGGUUUAUGGACAGGCAGAGCAGCCUCUUCAUAGCAAGUGUUUUGGGAUCAGUCACCGUAACGAGGUCAGUACAGGGGUCCCUAAUACUCCUGUGGGGAACAUAGCCUUGCUCCAGAUGGUUAGCAAUGUGUGGGAGACAGCACGCGGUUGGUAUACUCUCUGGCAUAGCGGUAGGCCUCAACUGUGUCACUUUAAUUCUCACAGUAAAUUCUGAGAUGUUCCUAAGGGAACAUUAGGAAUUUUCCAUCCUAAUGGAAUGGAGCUGAGGACACAAGGAUAUGGCACAGUGGGUGCAGGACAGCCCUGGAGCUGGAGUCAGCUGUCCUGAGGGGAGACCCCGGCAGCGAGUCAGGCUUUGGGAGCAGUUUUCAGUUUUGCACAUUCCACCCUCAGGGAGGCGGAGCCCUUAUUUGAGAAGGGCAUGUGAAGGCGAUUCCCUGCCUGAGCAUCCUCUGGGAGACCUGCAGACGGAUGGGCUGGGUCCAGCAGGCACAGACCCACAGCUUAACUGGUUUUGAGCCACCAGAGGGUGAGGGUGAUGGUGAGGAUUCAAGGAGACGAGCUUUGCGUGGCCUGGGGUGUGCAGGAGCCAAAUCUCUCCCACGGAUGUGAGCGGGUUUGCAAGACACAGACUGGAGGUGCCCUCUCUAGUCGCUCAGGGUGGAGGCGCAGGAAACUCGGCACCUGGGGAGAUGCACUUGGAAGGAAAGAGUUGGAUCCCCUGUGUGUUCAGGGGCCAAGUGCGUGUGUCCUCAGUCUCAGGAGGGGCAUGUAUAGAGCUUGCUCUGAAUGUACAGCGUGGAGCUCACGCAAAAUAUGAAGCAUUCAACAGUGUGUGACUCAAAGCACUUAUUGUGACAGACUUGUCUGUACGUAUCUGAGCUCACGUGACACACUUUGUAGGACCACAAAGCACAAAGAGGAGAAGCUCAUGGACGCUCACAUCGUACAACUGCAUUUUGUUUCCAUGUGUGCCCAUGCAGAUCUGCAGAUGUGUCAGCGAUCACAUGUGUGGCCUGGGUGCUUGUAGUGUAUGCACCUGUAUCCGUGUCCACCUACAGCAAUCAUGUCCUUUAUCGACGCAUUAGAACUUCCUACUUUGAGAGAAAUGACCAAUCCUAUUAUCUAGAAUAUUGACAUUUCUUAAAGUGUGUUCUAUCUGGUGUGUAUAUUGCUAUACAAUCGAUUGUUUAAAAAAAUACAUGCUUUUCCUAUUAUCAAUUUAUUGUUUAACCAACCUCUUAAA